rnacentral:tRNA from 1 species
ACUGUCUUGGCAGAUAAGAUGUAUGGGAUUUAGGAUCCUAGGAAAUAGAUUAAUUCUAUAGAUAGUA